ensembl:scaRNA SCARNA16 small Cajal body-specific RNA 16
AGGGUCUGGGAAAAGGCUGCUGUGUGGCUGGGCCCUUGGUGACGCAGUCUUGUACCAGCCAGCCUGAUCUCUUGCCCUAGAAUAAUCCUACACAGACUCCUUUCUGGAGUUUGCUCUGUGCAGUAGCAGGUGUGAGCAUUCUUGCAGCAUUUUGAUGGUCAUGUAUGAUACUGCAUACAAAA